UACGUAGGUCCCGAGCGUUAUCCGGAUUUAUUGGGUUUAAAGGGUGCGUAGGCGGAUUGAUAAGUUAGAGGUGAAAUGUCCGAGCUCAACUCGGGAACUGCCUCUAAUACUGUUGAUCUAGAGAGUAGAUGCGGUAGGCGGAAUGUAUGGUGUAGCGGUGAAAUGCUUAGAGAUCAUACAGAACACCGAUUGCGAAGGCAGCUUACCAAUCUAUAUCUGACGUUGAGGCACGAAAGCGUGGGGAGCAAACAGG
rnacentral:rRNA from 1 species